GGGUCAUUAGCUCAGUUGGUAGAGCAGUGGACUUUUAAUCCAUUGGUCGUAGGUUCGAAUCCCACAUGACCCACCA
rnacentral:tRNA from 1 species